GAUGAAGAACGUAGCGAAAUGCGAUACUUGGUGUGAAUUGCAGAAUCCCGUGAACCAUCGAGUCUUUGAACGCAAGUUGUGCCCGAAGCCACUAGGCCGAGGGCACGCCUGCCUGGGUGUCACACGUCGUUGCCCCCCCCCCCAUCUACUCCUUCGGGAUUGCGGGGGGCGGAUGAUGGCCUCCCGUGCGCCUAGCCGCGCGGUUGGCAUAAAUACCAAGUCCUCGGCGACGCACGCCACGACAAUCGGUGGUUGCGAAACCUCGGUUGCCCGUCGUGUGCGUUCGUCGCGCAUCGAGGGCUCGAAAAAAUGCUCGGCUCCGGCUCGGCUUUCAACGCGACCCCAGGUCAGGCGGGGUUACCCGCUGAAUUUAAGCAUAUCAAUAAGCGGAGGA
rnacentral:misc_RNA from 1 species